UACGGAGGGGGCUAGCGUUGUUCGGAAUUACUGGGCGCAAAGCGCACGUAGGCGGACUGUUAAGUCGGGGGUGAAAUCCUGGGGCUCAACCUCAGAAUUGCCUCCGAUACUGGCAGUCUCGAGUGCGGGAGAGGUGAGUGGAAUUCCCAGUGUAGAGGUGAAAUUCGUAGAUAUUGGGAAGAACACCAGUGGCGAAGGCGGCUCACUGGCCCGUAACUGACGCUGAGGUGCGAAAGCGUGGGGAGCAAACAGG
rnacentral:rRNA from 1 species